rnacentral:lncRNA from 1 species
GGUCUGGGACAUAAUAUCCUCGUAUACUGCAACAGUCCAGGCUGGGGGUGAGAGGCGAGAGACAUGUGACUUCCGUAACUCCUACCUGGACCUCAAGCGCAAGUAUGGGAGAGCCGAGGUGUGCAGAGCCUUACCCUGGGAGAAGGGGCUGAGAGACAGGCACCCCAGCUUGUUCCAGACUCUGCUGCAGAUGGACCUGCUGACCGCGCCACGGAACCAAAAUGACUCCGUAUUAGAAAUCGCUGCUGUGGAUACCAUAAAGCAUCCUACUACCUCACCGUCUUCUAUGAAACUGGGUUAAAUGGACCUCGGGAUCAGCUGCAGGCUCUCAAUGGGAUGCUGCUCCCCCACCCUGAGGAGGACCAUCUGCUUUACUCAGAUGCCCAUUUCCAAGCUUCAUUGGAAACAGCCUACCAGACUCCCUGAGAAAUGACUCUGGGCCCCUGCCAGCAUAGUCACGUUGACAGAUAACACUAUCACCAGAAAACACUAUGUUCUCCAAUCACUUUUAAUUUCUGAUCUCUGCAUAUG